AAAACUUUCAACAACGGAUCUCUUGGUUCUGGCAUCGAUGAAGAACGCAGCGAAAUGCGAUAAGUAGUGUGAAUUGCAGAAUUCAGUGAAUCAUCGAAUCUUUGAACGCACAUUGCGCCCUUUGGUAUUCCGAAGGGCAUACCUGUUCGAGCGUCAU
rnacentral:rRNA from 12 species